AAUCUGGAUCUGCCCCUAGUAGGAACUAUAUUGUUGUGAAAAGAGCAUAGGCUUUAGAAUGAGAAGUCUUGUUCCUGUAAUUUACUAUCUAUGUUACUCAGGACAGUUAAUUCAUUGAACUAUUCUGGGCCUCAGUUUACUUACCAGGUAAAUUGGAGGUAAUAUUUACCAGCCUGAGCUGUUGUGAUAAUCAAAUAAGAUAGUAUUUACAAAAGUGAUUUGUAAAAUGUGGAAAGCACUUUACACGUGUUUAUGAAUUAGUAUUAUAAUUUGUCCAUAAAAUGCAUAAGAGGCAAAAAUCAAAAGCAACACCAAGUUUCUUAGAUGAAAAAGUAGAACCAGAGUGUGUGCGCUGGCAAAAAUGAUGAAAUGGUACAGGUAACAUUCUUGCUUUUCUGCUAGGUUUUCUUCCUGCUUAAUCCAUGAGACUUUGAAGAAAUAAACUGGUAAGCAUAGGAUCAGAAAUUUAGAGCUGAGAGGAAGUUGAAGAUCACCUAGCUCCUCCCUACAUUUUUACAGAAAUAGAAAUUAAGGCCCAAGAAAGCUGAAAGACUUUUCUAAGGCCACCCAUCUAAUAAAUGUCAUGAUCAGAAGAACCAGAUCUCCAGGCUCCAGGUUCCUCUUACUGUACCAAGAGCAAUUUUAAAUAUUGUAAAAGCAUUUCAUCAUGGGGUCUUUCAGAAUCAGAGACAGCAUGGUGCUUGUUCUCUAGUGGCUUUUCGCUUUAUCACAAAAUUCGCCAGAUUUACUUUUCUGUUUUAAAGGUUGAUAGACUGGAUGAGGCGUGGGUCACCUGCUCUUUGCAAGCUUAUUCAGUGAGGGAAACUGAAGAUUUCAAGCAAGUACAGAUAUCAGGCACCAGGGCCUAAUACUCCACCAAUCCACAAGAUCCCAUACUUCCUUGAGGGUGAGAGAGAGGGGUCCCGAUAUUCUCAGCAUUUGGUUAUCACUCUCAGAUGAGCUCUAGAGUCCAGCUAAUGAACAGGCACCACGCCAGGAAGAGAUACAUGAGCUUGCAUCUCAAAGGCAGGAAAAAUUGGAGUCCUUGAAUUGGAGUGACGCUUCAUCUACAAGUUAGGGUUAUCGAGUCAAGGUCAAAAGCUAGAGGGGUAUGAGGUUAAGAGAUGUCCACAGGAUAGAGGACUUCGUGAAGCUUCCGGGGAGCAGAUAAAAAUUGGGAGACUCCCAAGACCCAUCUCAAGGUCACCUUCUUUAGGACACCUUCCCUAACAGCAAUGUUGUAAUAUUUAAUUUGUAACUCAAUGUUAUAUUGUCCUCUGAUUCAUUUGUGUAUGUACACAUUGACUUCCCAUUGAGAUUUUUAAGCUUAAGGAUGGUAAUAGCAACUUUAAAAAAUAUUCUGCAUGUACAAUACCUCACAUAACGCUGUGUAGCACUAAGAAAACUUAUUAAUAUCACUAUUAGAAUCUGGUGGAGAUUAUAUCUUGCAUAAUCUCUCUAAAGGUGAGAAUUCGGAUUACUUUUUGCUAUUCAACACGUUUUUCUGCAAACCCAGUCACUCCAGAAAAAUCUAUCUUAUUUGCAGAACUGUUGCAAAACCUGACACUCCUCUUCACUUUGCUGGAAUGCCCUUGUAGUUGCCAAAUAUUGCCCUGCUUCAUGGAAAUUCUUGGCCAGAUCUGUGGACUGCCAGCCCUUGCAGCUGCUGAUCCUUGAAGUCCAAUUCUCCUAUAACAUCAAAUCAAACAAUAUUUCCUAAGACACUGAGCUGGUUGCCAUUGAAGUCUAGGGGAGCUUGAGUCCAUUGUGGGAGAUGAAUCCACAAAUUAUGUGUGAACAGACUGGAUUUCUAAGCCUAUGGGGCAGAGGACCAGAACCUUAUCCUGGUGAAUCACCAAGGUAAGUCCAUGCCAUGAGAACCUUUUGGGGCCCCAGGAAACUCUCUGACUGGCUGGUGAUCUGUCUCCUUCCUACUCAGACUUCUAAUGUUAUCAGGCCUAGUGAAGUUCUGUCUGUAUUGAGGGACUGGCAGGAUAGAAUUGUGUUUGGGAUCCUGGUGUGGAGUCGGUAGACUUGGCGUAUAUCCUUUCUUCAAUUAUUAACUUAAGCAAAUUGCCUAACCUUCCCACCCUUCAAUUUUCUUCUCUGUGAUUUGGGGAUAACAAGUGUCUACUUCAUAGCAUUCUUAGGGAAAAAUGAGACUGCAUGUUGAGGACUUUAUGUAGUAGGUAACAUAAAAGGUGCUUAAUAAAUAGCAGUUACUCUUAUUUUUAGAGCCCUCACUGGAUGCCAGGCCCUGUGCAUUGAUAUAUCUGCCCAGUCAAACAGCUGGCAAGCGGGAAAACUGGGUGGGUGUUGAACCAGGCCAAAGCUAAUGUAUUUGACGACUAGUUUAAACUGUCUCUGAUAGUUUAACAAACAUGGCAAAACUUGCACUUUCAAACUGUCUCUUUCCCUUUAAAGGAAUGAAUUUGGAAGACUGCAUACUUACUCCUAAGCCUAUUUGGAACUCCUCUUUUGGACUUACCUGAGAAAUCUGUGCUAUAUUUUUUAAACAUCCUUAACAAGGACAAAUUUUUGUUCAUGAAGAGAAGAUUUGAUCUUUCAUAAUAACCAAAAUGUGUUUUGUGCCAAGCCCAAUAAAUAAAGUGGAGAAUAACAAAAACAUGGCAUAGAAAGCAAUUCCACAGUUUUGACAGGAGUAGCAAAUACUUCAUUGUCACAAAGCAUUUUCUGUUAUUUCUGACUUCAUGUUCCUAUCACAUUGGUCUUGUAUGGAACAAAAUAUGUAUUGUUAUUAGUAAAUUAAGUUAACUACAAAUGAGUUAAAUUAUUGUAACUGAAGACUAAUGAUCAAAUUAAUAUAAACAAAGAAAGAUUGUUUAUAUUCA